rnacentral:rRNA from 1 species
CCUACGGGGGGCUGCAGUGAGGAAUAUUGGUCAAUGGGCGCGAGCCUGAACCAGCCAAGUAGCGUGAAGGAUGACUGCCCUACGGGUUGUAAACUUCUUUUAUAAAGGAAUAAAGUGAGGCACGUGUGCCUUUUUGUAUGUACUUUAUGAAUAAGGCUCGGCUAACUCCGUGCCAGCAGCCGCGGUAAUACGGAGGAUCCGAGCGUUAUCCGGAUUUAUUGGGUUUAAAGGGAGCGUAGAUGGGUUGUUAAGUCAGUUGUGAAAGUUUGCGGCUCAACCGUAAAAUUGCAAUUGAUACUGGCAGGCUUGAGUACAGUUGAGGUAGGCGGAAUUCGGGGUGUAGCGGUGAAAUGCUGAGAUAUCACGAAGAACUCCGAUUGCGAAGGCAGCUUACUAAACUGCCACUGACAUUGAUGCUCGAAAGUGUGGGUAUCAAACAGGAUUAGAUACCCGGGUAGUC